GACGAACGCUGGCGGCGUGCUUAACACAUGCAAGUCGAACGGAAAGGCCCUGCUUUUGUGGGGUGCUCGAGUGGCGAACGGGUGAGUAACACGUGAGUAACCUGCCCUUGACUUUGGGAUAACUUCAGGAAACUGGGGCUAAUACCGGAUAGGAGCUCCUGCUGCAUGGUGGGGGUUGGAAAGUUUCGGCGGUUGGGGAUGGACUCGCGGCUUAUCAGCUUGUUGGUGGGGUAGUGGCUUACCAAGGCUUUGACGGGUAGCCGGCCUGAGAGGGUGACCGGCCACAUUGGGACUGAGAUACGGCCCAGACUCCUACGGGAGGCAGCAGUGGGGAAUAUUGCACAAUGGGCGGAAGCCUGAUGCAGCAACGCCGCGUGCGGGAUGACGGCCUUCGGGUUGUAAACCGCUUUCGCCUGUGACGAAGCGUGAGUGACGGUAAUGGGUAAAGAAGCACCGGCUAACUACGUGCCAGCAGCCGCGGUGAUACGUAGGGUGCGAGCGUUGUCCGGAUUUAUUGGGCGUAAAGGGCUCGUAGGUGGUUGAUCGCGUCGGAAGUGUAAUCUUGGGGCUUAACCCUGAGCGUGCUUUCGAUACGGGUUGACUUGAGGAAGGUAGGGGAGAAUGGAAUUCCUGGUGGAGCGGUGGAAUGCGCAGAUAUCAGGAGGAACACCAGUGGCGAAGGCGGUUCUCUGGGCCUUUCCUGACGCUGAGGAGCGAAAGCGUGGGGAGCGAACAGGCUUAGAUACCCUGGUAGUCCACGCUGUAAACGGUGGGUACUAGGUGUGGGGUCCAUUCCACGGGUUCCGUGCCGUAGCUAACGCUUUAAGUACCCCGCCUGGGGAGUACGGCCGCAAGGCUAAAACUCAAAGGAAUUGACGGGGCCCCGCACAAGCGGCGGAGCAUGCGGAUUAAUUCGAUGCAACGCGUAGAACCUUACCUGGGUUUGACAUGGAUCGGGAGUGCUCAGAGAUGGGUGUGCCUCUUUUGGGGUCGGUUCACAGGUGGUGCAUGGCUGCCGUCAGCUCGUGUCGUGAGAUGUUGGGUUAAGUCCCGCAACGAGCGCAACCCUUGUUCACUGUUGCCAGCACGUUAUGGUGGGGACUCAGUGGAGACCGCCGGGGUCAACUCGGAGGAAGGUGGGGAUGACGUCAAGUCAUCAUGCCCCUUAUGUCCAGGGCUUCACGCAUGCUACAAUGGCUGGUACAGAGAGUGGCGAGCCUGUGAGGGUGAGCGAAUCUCGGAAAGCCGGUCUCAGUUCGGAUUGGGGUCUGCAACUCGACCUCAUGAAGUCGGAGUCGCUAGUAAUCGCAGAUCAGCAACGCUGCGGUGAAUACGUUCCCGGGGCU
rnacentral:rRNA from 1 species